rnacentral:rRNA from 1 species
GAUGAACGCUGGCGGCGUGCCUAAUACAAGCAAGUCGAGCGAACAGACGAGGAGCUUGCUCCUUUGACGUUAGCGGCGGACGGGUGAGUAACACGUGGGUAACCUACCUAUAAGACUGGGAUAACUUCGGGAAACCGGAGCUAAUACCGGAUAAUAUUUCGAACCGCAUGGUUCGAUAGUGAAAGAUGGCUUUGCUAUCACUUAUAGAUGGACCUGCGCCGUAUUAGCUAGUUGGUAAGGUAACGGCUUACCAAGGCAACGAUACGUAGCCGACCUGAGAGGGUGAUCGGCCACACUGGAACUGAGACACGGUCCAGACUCCUACGGGAGGCAGCAGUAGGGAAUCUUCCGCAAUGGGCGAAAGCCUGACGGAGCAACGCCGCGUGAGUGAUGAAGGUCUUCGGAUCGUAAAACUCUGUUAUUAGGGAAGAACAAACGUGUAAGUAACUGUGCACGUCUUGACGGUACCUAAUCAGAAAGCCACGGCUAACUACGUG